rnacentral:SRP_RNA from 2 species
GCCAGGUAUGGUGGCUCAUGCCUGUAAUCCCAGCAUUUUGGGAGGCUGAGGUGGGAGAAUCGCUUGAGCCCAGGAGUUUGAGACAAACCUGGGAAACAUAGUGAGACCCCAUCUCUA